rnacentral:tRNA from 1 species
UACUUGAAAGCGAAUAUUUGCACUAAGUUUCGGCCUUAGCUUUGAGAACCAUCUCUCAGGUAA